rnacentral:snRNA from 1 species
GAAUAUGAGGGUGAUAAGGCUGUGACAUCUGUCACCCCAUUGAUGGCNGGGGUUGAUUUGGCUGAUCUGGCUGGCUAGGAGAGUGUCCCCUUUACUCUCUCACUGCUCCAUGUGUGUCCCUCCUGAAGUUGCACACUCGGUCAAAGAGGACGACGACCUUCCCUGAAUAGAGGAGGGCUGGUCUCCGGGUAGCUGAGCUCCCCUGCUAGAACCUCUAGAUGAGCUCUCAAAGUCCCUAUUUGUUAAAAUGAAAUUUUAGUUAUAUCAAUUUAUCUGUCAUCACUAACGAAUAUAAAUAUUUUUAAGAACUUU